rnacentral:misc_RNA from 1 species
GAUGAAGAACGCAGCGAAAUGCGAUAAGUAAUGUGAAUUGCAGAAUUCAGUGAAUCAUCGAAUCUUUGAACGCACAUUGCGCUCCCUGGUAUUCCGGGGAGCAUGCCUGUUCGAGCGUCAUUACAACCCUCAAGCUCAGCUUGGUGUUGGGCCCCGCCGCCCCGGCGGGCCCUAAAGUCAGUGGCGGUGCCGUCCGGCUCCGAGCGUAGUAAUUCUUCUCGCUCUGGAGGUCCGGUCGUGUGCUCGCCAGCAACCCCCAAUUUUUUUCAGGUUGACCUCGGAUCAGGUAGGGAUACCCGCUGAACUUAAGCAUAUCAAUAAGCGGAGGA